rnacentral:rRNA from 1 species
CCUACGGGAGGCAGCAGUGGGGAAUAUUGCACAAUGGGGGAAACCCUGAUGCAGCAACGCCGCGUGAGUGAGGAAGUAUUUCGGUAUGUAAAGCUCUAUCAGCAGGGAAUAGAAAAGAAGGUACCUGAAAAAGAAGCCCCUGCUAACUACGUGCCAGCAGCCGCGGUAAUACGUAGGGGGCAAGCGUUAGCCGGAUUUACUGGGUGGAAAGGGAGCGUAGACGGCACUGCAAGUCCGGAGUGAAAGCCCAAGGCUGAACCAUGGGACUGCUCUGGAAACUGUGGAGCUUGAGUGCGGGAGGGGCAGGCGGAAUUCCUAGUGUAGCGGGGAAAUGCGUAGAUAUUAGGAGGAACACCGGCGGCGAAGGCGGCCUGCUGGACCGUAACUGACGUUGAGGCUCGAAAGCGUGGGGAGCAAACAGGAUUAGAGACCCCUGUAGUC